AACGAACGCUGGCGGCAUGCCUAACACAUGCAAGUCGAACGAGACCUUCGGGUCUAGUGGCGCACGGGUGCGUAAAGCGUGGGAACCUGCCCUUAGGUUCGGAAUAACUCCCCGAAAGGGGUUCUAAUACCGGAUAAUGUCUUCGGACCAAAGAUUUAUCGCCUUUGGAUGGGCCCGCGUUGGAUUAGCUAGUUGGUAGGGUAAAAGCCUACCAAGGCGACGAUCCAUAGCUGGUCUGUGAGGAUGAUCAGCCACACUGGGACUGAGACACGGCCCAGACUCCGACGGAAGGCAGCAGUGGGGAGUAUUGGACGAUGAGGGAAAGCCUGAUCCAGCAGUGCGGCGUGAGAGAUGAAGGCCUUAGGGUUGUAAAGCUCUUUUACCCGGGAUGAUAGUGACAGUACCGGGAGAAUAAGCACCGGCUAACUCCGUG
rnacentral:rRNA from 1 species